CGUCAUUUUUCGGAGAUCAAGGCUAUUUGAUUAGCUUUUGACUCACUAAUUUCUUUCACGACUGAACAUUUAAUUUUUUAAGAAAAGGGGAAAAAAGUUCAAACUACCCCUAUUUGAAAAGAUUUUGGGUUCGGGGGUUAGUUACAUAAAGGGAAGGUGUUAGCACCCUUUAUGUCCGUAGUACUCUACGGGAACCUCUUGGUUUUAUUUACUUUUUGUGCUAUA
rnacentral:lncRNA from 1 species